UCUAUUCUGUAAUGUUGUAUUAUGGUUUUAUGUUUUAUCAUUUAUCUUAACAUCACGUCAACCGUUGUACGUUACUGUUAUUUUUUUUCUCAUAUUUCAAUAUUCAAUUUAGAUAGUUUUGAAUGUUUUGAUUGUUUUGAAUGCCCGAGUCCGGAGGUACUUUGUAAGUUGUCAAUGACUUCUAAUAGCUAAUUAUUAGUUAAUAGUUAUAACAACAGUAGUUCAAGUCCAAACUCUGAAGUCUCUGAUUAAAAGUUAAGAAAUGAUGGUAGUCAAGACUUGUCAACAUUGAAGAAUUCAACGCGUGUUAACCCAUAACAAUUAACAAAAAAAAUAAUUUCCGAUCAAAAUGGACAAAA